rnacentral:rRNA from 1 species
GACGAACGCUGGCGGCGUGCUUAACACAUGCAAGUCGAACGAAGUGGCGACCGGGUGAGUAACGCGUAAUCAACCUGCCCUUCAGAGGGGGAAAACAGUUGGAAACGACUGCUAAUACCGCAUACUGAAGGGGGGGAUUGAGUCUGAUUAGCUAGUUGGAGGGGUAACGGACAACCAAGGAGAUGAUCAGUAGCCGGUCUGAGAUGAUGAACGGCCAAAGUGGGACUUAGACACGGCCCAGACUCCUACGGGAGGCAGCAGUGGGGAAGGUUCAGAAAGGGACGAAAGUCUGACGGAGGAACGCCGCGUGAGUGAUGACGGCCUUCGGGUUGGAAAGCUCUGUUAAUCGGGACGCGGUACCGGAAUAGAAAGCCACGGCUAACUACGUGCCAGCAGCCGCGGUAAUAC